ACAGGGAAAGGCUGUCAAUGCAGAGAUGCUUGCAUCCAAUAUCAUCAGAUUGGUCAUGGGUCCUACAGGGACAACAGUCACAUUUCCCAGGGAUAUGGGUUUCCCUAGUAUAUUUGACUCCAAACCUUCCAGUUACCCUCCUCCACGGGAAAACUGUGCGGGUCCAUCAUGUAAUAACCCAUACAAGUAUCGAGAUUCGAAGUCAAAGCUACCUCUUUGUAGUCUGCAGUGCUACAGGGCAAUUCAAGAACAGCUGCUGGCUGAAACUACCUGCUAACAUUGCCAAAAAUCCAGUACUAACCUCUGUGCUUAUGGUAAAAUUCUGCACAUUUAUGUCUUGAUUCAUGUAUCAGAGCUUAGUAUAACGGCAUAAUUUCCAACUUAGGAUAGAGAGAUUAAACUGAGUCUGUAUAUCGCUCCCUUAUACUUUUGUGGAGCCGCUAGUUUCUUUUUUGAAAGGAGGUUGAUUCUGCGAUGUGGUUAAUAUUUUACAAGGCAGGUUGCCUAGAAAGUCUUUUGUCUACAUGGUACAAUGUUAUCAAGGAAAGAGCAUCCAAGUUUAUUUCACAUGGAAUGCAUUAGGGCGACAGCUGCUGAGGGUGUGUCAAGAAAUCAACAACUUGAAACAAUGCUCAGAACAUGACUCAUUUUCCAAAGGCUCUGUGCUAUACAUAUAUUUCAGAAAUUCACUGUGUACUUAUGGAAGGAAAAAGAUACAAACAUGAAAUUUACUAAUAUUUUUCCUUU